rnacentral:rRNA from 1 species
UACGUAGGCAGCAAGCGUUGUUCGGAGUUACUGGGCGUAAAGGGUGCGUAGGCGGUCCUAUAAGUAUGGUGUGAAAUCUCCCGGCUUAACUGGGAGGGUGCGCUAUAGACUGUGGGACUAGAGUGUGGGGAGAGGAAAGUGGAAUUCCUGGUGUAGCGGUGAAAUGCGUAGAUAUCAGGAGGAACACCGGUGGUGAUGAAACGCUUUCG